GUGUUAUGAGGAAAGCAGUACAUAAACAGAAGCGGUCAUAAUGAUUCUUGGGAUUUACCCCCUCGUUAGUUGAGGCAAUAACUAACGAGAAGGUAAAGGGGCAAUUGAUGACCGCUGGGUUUCUUCGCCCCCGACUAAGGCCAAGCCCAUUAGGGCAGCCCAUAAUCUAAAGGCUUCUAAGCCUCCUCCAAGAACCAAGUCUAGCCCGCC
rnacentral:lncRNA from 1 species